CUUGGCCAUCAGAUCUGCCACCUCAAUUAAUGAGGAAGAUCUGAUGGCCCUUGUUUUUUUGCUUUUUCUUUUUUAUUUUGAUUUUAUGUUUAAUCCAUUUAUUUUAUUUUAUUCAUAGAAAUUUCAUUUUUAAUCCAAAAAAUAUGGGACUUUCACCAAAAAUCUUUAAAUAUUUUUCUCUUCCAUAUUUCGAAUUAAAAUCAUUU
rnacentral:lncRNA from 1 species